ACGCUCGACACCUACGGGAGCAGCAGUGGGGAAUAUUGCACAAUGGGGGAAACCCUGAUGCAGCGACGCCGCGUGGAGGAAGAAGGUCUUCGGAUUGUAAACUCCUGUUGUUGGGGAAAAAGAGGAUGGUACCCAACAAGGAAGUGACGGCUAACUACGUGCCUGCAGCCGCGGUAAUCUGAGCGGGCUGGCAAGGC
rnacentral:rRNA from 1 species